rnacentral:lncRNA from 1 species
CCCAGCCACAGGUUCCCAACAGAAUUGUUUACAAAGGCUGAGCAUUUACCUGAGGCCAUGAGAUAAUCAACAUUCAAGGCAUGGCAAUUCAUGUUUUGGAGGGUUUUGAGGAAAAUAGAUUACAUAGGUCUGGUUGUACCUUGGAGGACCAUUCCAGAACAGAAAGGAUUUUGAAGAUAGAGAAAUCCGUGAAUAUUGGCACUGAGCGAAAGUUUCUUUACCAAGACUCCUUAGAGAAGAGUCUAUUUUACCAGUUUCUAGUAUGUGGCUUAUAUUCUAAAAACUAAUUGUAGACCAUUUUUGUAACUUCUCUACAUGAGUUUUCAAGUUUUGUAUGGGAUAACUUUUUAAAUGCCUUUGGAAAUAGAAAUUAGGAGGCUGACACAUGUUCUUCAAGAGAAUAAGCAAUUGACCUUUAUCCCAUUUAACCAAAUAACAUAUAAGAAAGCGUUUGAAUUGCCAAGGAACUCUCAGAAUAAAAUGAAAGGGUUGGACUUGUAGAAAUUUAUAGGCAUCUAUAUCGAUGUAUGCAAUACAGGGUGAAGUCUCAGGUUUCAACCGUCAGGAAAAAGAUAAGUCAUUCACCAAUAGUUAUCACCGUUGAGAUGUGUAUCAAAGCUUAUGGGCCAGUCUUCCGGGAACUUUUUUUCAAGAUGGCCGACGGCACUACAAGGAAAUCACUUUUUUUGCCUUUCCACCUUCCUUUUUUUUCUACAGCAGACAAGUUGGCAGGAGCUUCAGCAGCUAGCUUGGAUCCUGAGUAAACACGAGGCUGGAGGUCAGGGGCUCCACAUAAUGACGAAAAAAGAUGGCACAAACUUAAAUCUCUGAUAACCACAGAGCUACCUACCAUCCCAGCUCUGGACUGUCCCCAGUAGGCUUCUUUUACUGGCGAGAAAAAUCAAACUUGAUCUUGUUUAAGCCACUUAUUUGAGUUUUCUAUCAAAAGCAGCUAAACCUGAUAUGUCAUAUCUUUGACAAAACUGGGCCAAUGAGAGAGAGACUGAGAAGGCUGUGUGUUUCAAGCAAUAUAGGAGAUUCUAAUACUUGGUAUCUGAGUGUUCUAAUCAGCUGGGUUUACUGGGUAAAAGGAACAGAAAGGGUAUGGAUAUCAGUUCAAUAAAGUCCUCCUGGGUGAAUGCCA